UACGUAGGCAGCAAGCGUUGUUCGGAGUUACUGGGCGUAAAGGGUGUGUAGGCGGCCUUCUAAGUUUGGUGUGAAAUCUCCCGGCUCAACCGGGAGGGUGCGCCGAAGGACUGGGGGGCUAGAGUGCGGGAUGGGAGAGUAGAAUUCCUGGUGUAGCGGUGAAAUGCGUAGAUAUCAGGAGGAAUACCUGUGGUGUAGACGGCUCUCUGGACCGCAACUGACGCUGAGACACGAAAGCGUGGGUAGCAAACAGG
rnacentral:rRNA from 1 species